GACGAAGAACGUAGCGAAAUGCGAAAAGUAAUGUGAAUUGCAGAAUUCAGUGAACCAUCGAAUCUUUGAACGCACAUUGCGCCCGCUGGAACUCCGGCGGGCACGCCUGUCCGAGCGUCAUUUCAACCCUCAGGCCCCCCUUCGCGGGCGGGCCUGGUGUUGGGGCCCGGCCGCUACCCUGCGGCCGUCCCCUAAAUUCAGUGGCGGCCUCGCCGUGAUCCCUUGCGUAGUAAUGCACCUCGCACCGGAGAGCGCCGUGGCCACGCCGUAAAACCCCCAAUUUUCAAUGGUUGACCUCGGAUCAGGUGGGAAUACCCGCUGAACUUAAGCAUAUCAAUAAGCGGAGGA
rnacentral:misc_RNA from 1 species